rnacentral:rRNA from 1 species
AGUGAACGCUGGCGGUAGGCCUAACACAUGCAAGUCGAACGGCAGCACAGUAAGAGCUUGCUCUUACGGGUGGCGAGUGGCGGACGGGUGAGGAAUACAUCGGAAUCUACUUUUUCGUGGGGGAUAACGUAGGGAAACUUACGCUAAUACCGCAUACGACCUACGGGUGAAAGCAGGGGAUCUUCGGACCUUGCGCGAUUGAAUGAGCCGAUGUCGGAUUAGCUAGUUGGCGGGGUAAAGGCCCACCAAGGCGACGAUCCGUAGCUGGUCUGAGAGGAUGAUCAGCCACACGGGAACUGAGACACGGUCCAGACUCCUACGGGAGGCAGAAGUGGGGAAUAUUGGACAAUGGGCGCAAGCCUGAUCCAGCCAUACCGCGGGGGUGAAGAAGGCCUUCGGGUUGUAAAGCCCUUUUGUUGGGAAAGAAAAGCAGCAGGUUAAUACCCCGCUGUUCUGACGGUACCCAAAGAAUAAGCACCGGCUAACUUCGU